rnacentral:rRNA from 1 species
UACGUAGGGGGCAAGCGUUGUCCGGAAUUAUUGGGCGUAAAGAGCGUGUAGGCGGCCAGAUAAGUCCGCUGUGAAAUCUCGAGGCUCAACUUCGAGCUGUCGGUGGAAACUGUCUGGCUAGAGUCCGGAAGAGGAGAAUGGAAUUCCUGGUGUAGCGGUGAAAUGCGCAGAUAUCAGGAAGAACACCCGUGGCGAAGGCGGCUCUCUGGUACGUGACUGACGCUGAGACGCGAAAGCGUGGGGAGCAAACAGG